GGAGGCCCAGCUAUGAUAGUCAAAAUGUUUAUUCACGAGAGCGCUAGUCCGUUGCACAAAACCAUUCAUAUUAUACUGGCUCCUUACGCACUUACAUUCAAACACAAACAGUAGGUAUAAUACGCACAUACUGUAUCACCACCCAGCCGACAAAGAUUAGGGAGACCUUGGGAAGCACUCCCUGUCCUCCCUCAAGAUUAGGGAGACCGUAGGAAGCACUCCCUGUCCUCCCUCAAGAUUAGGGAGACCGUGGGAAGCACCCCGUGUCCUCCCUCAAGAUUAGGGAGACCGUGGGAAGCACUCCUUGUCUUCCCUCAAGAUUAGGGAGACCGUGGGAAGCACUCCUUGUCCUCCCUCAAGAUUAAGGAGACCGUGGGAAGCACUCCUUGUCCUCCCUCAAGAUUAGGAGGGACUUGAAGUACUCCCCGCCCUCUCCCAAAUCUCUCAUAGGCCCCUAGCAAGGUUAAUAAUGGUGAGAUGGAUGGUGGACAGGGUUAAUAAUGGUGAGUUGGAGGGUAGACAGGGUUAAUAAUGGUGAGUUGGAGGGUAGACAGGGUUAAUAAUGGUGAGUUGGAGGGUAGACAGGGUUAAUAAUGGUGAGUUGGAGGGUAGACAGUGUUAAUAAUGGUGAGUUGGAGGGUAGACAGGGUUAAUAAUGGUGAGUUGGAGGGUAGACAGGGUUAAUAAUGGUGAGUUGGAGGGUAGACAGGGUUAAUAAUGGUGAGUUGGAGGGUGGACAGGGUUAAUAAUGGUGAGUUGGAGGGUGGACAGGGUUAAUAAUGGUGAGUUGGAGGGUAGACAGGGUUAAUAAUGGUGAGUUGGAGGGUAGACAGGGUUAAUAAUGGUGAGUUGGAGGGUAGACAGGGUUAAUAAUGGUGAGUUGGAUGGUGGACAGGGUUAAUAAUGGUGAGUUGGAUGGUGGACAGGGUUAAUAAUGGUGAGUUGGAUGGUGGACAGGGUUAAUAAUGGUGAGUUGGAUGGUGGACAGGGUUAAUGGUGAGAUGGAUGGUGGACAGGGUUAAUAAUGGUGAGAUGGAGGGUGGACAGCGUUAAUAAUGGUGAGAUGGAUGGUGGACAGGGUUAAUAAUGGUGAGAUGGAUGGUGGACAGGGGUUGACAUGGUGAGUUGGAUGGUGGACAGGGUUGACCAUGGUGAGUUGGAUGGUGGACAGGGUUGACCAUGGUGAGUUGGAUGGUGGACAGGGUUGACCAUGGUGAGUUGGAUGGUGGACAGGG
ensembl:lncRNA